rnacentral:rRNA from 1 species
CUACUCGGGUAUCUAAUCCUGUUUGCUCCCCACGCUUUCGCGCCUCAGCGUCAGUUACUGACCAGAAAGCCGCCUUCGCCACUGGUGUUCCUCCACAUCUCUACGCAUUUCACCGCUACACGUGGAAUUCCGCUUUCCUCUUCAGUACUCAAGUUCCCCAGUUUCCAAUGACCCUCCCCGGUUGAGCCGGGGGCUUUCACAUCAGACUUAAGGAACCGCCUGCGCGCGCUUUACGCCCAAUAAUUCCGGACAACGCUUGCCACCUACGUAUUACCGCGGCUGCUGGCAC